CGGGGCAGGACGCUGGCUGCGGCCGUGGCGGCGACGACUACUCAGAGGACGAGGGCGACAGCAGCGUGUUCAGGGCGGCUGUGGAGGUGUUCGGGAAGCUGAAGGACCUAAACUGCCCCUUCCUCGAGGGUCUGUAUAUCACAGAGCCAAAGACAAUUCAGGAACUGCUGUGCAGCCCCUCAAAGUACCGCUUGGAGAUCCUAGAGUGGAUGUGUACCCGAAAUGACGAAGCUGGGCCAUGAGCUGAUGCUGUGUGCGCCAGAUGACCAGGAGCUCCUCAAGGGCUGUGCCUGCGCCCAGAAGCAGCUACACUUCAUGGACCAGUUGCUCGAUGCCAUCCGGAGCCUGACUAUUGGGUGCUCCAGUUGCUCGAGCCUGAUGGAGCACUUCGAGGACACCAGGGAGAAGAAUGAGGCCUUGCUGGGGGAGCUCUUCUCUAGCCCCCACCUGCAGAUGCUCCUGAAUCCAGAGUGCGACCCGUGGCCCCUGGACAUGCAGCCCCUCCUCAACAAGCAGAGUGAUGACUGGCAGUGGGCCAGUGCCUCUGCCAAGUCCGAGGAGGAGGAGAAGCUGGCGGAGCUUGCCAGGCAGCUGCAGGAGAGUGCUGCCAAGUUGCAUGCGCUUAGAACGGAGUCUACGACGACGAGCUGGGCGAGUGCUGCCAGCGCCCAGGCCCUGACCUCCACCCGUGCGGCCCCAUCAUCCAGGCCACGCACCAGAAUCUGACUUCCUACAGCCAAGUAAGGGUGCCCUUCCCCUCCCCUCUAACCGCCCCCUCCCCUGUUCACUCAGACUGAGAGCUUAUAUCCUGCUUGGG
rnacentral:sRNA from 1 species